rnacentral:rRNA from 1 species
AGUGAACGCUGGCGGUAGGCCUAACACAUGCAAGUCGAACGGCAGCACAGUAAGAGCUUGCUCUUACGGGUGGCGAGUGGCGGACGGGUGAGGAAUACAUCGGAAUCUACUUUUUCGUGGGGGAUAACGUAGGGAAACUUACGCUAAUACCGCAUACGACCUACGGGUGAAAGCAGGGGUUCUUCGGACCUUGCGCGAUUGAAUGAGCCGAUGUCGGAUUAGCUAGUUGGCGGGGUAAAGGCCCACCAAGGCGACGAUCCGUAGCUGGUCUGAGAGGAUGAUCAGCCACACUGGAACUUAGACACGGUCCAGACUCCUACGGGAGGCAGCAGUGGGGAAUAUUGGACAAUGGGCGCAAGCCUGAUCCAGCCAUACCGCGUGGGUGAAGAAGGCCUUCGGGUUGUAAAGCCCUUUUGUUGGGAAAGAAAAGCAGCAGGUUAAUACCCCGCUGUUCUGACGGUACCCAAAGAAUAAGCACCGGCUAACUUCGUG